rnacentral:rRNA from 1 species
CUACGGGGUGCUGCAGUGGGGAAUAUUGGACAAUGGGGGAAGCCCUGAUCCAGCAAUGCCGCGUGUGUGAAGAAGGCCUGCGGGUUGUAAAGCACUUUCGGUUGGGAGGACUGCUUCUAGCACUAAUAUUGUUGGAAGUUGACGUUACCUUCAGAAGAAGCACCGGCUAACUCCGUGCCAGCAGCCGCGGUAAUACGGAGGGUGCAUGCGUUAAUCGGAAUUACUGGGCGUAAAGCGCGCGUAGGCGGCUAGAUCAGUCGGGUGUGAAAGCCCCGGGCUUAACCUGGGAACUGCAUCCGAUACUGGCUAGCUUGAGUACAGGAGAGGAGAGUGGAAUUCCACAUGUAGCGGUGAAAUGCGUAGAUAUGUGGAGGAACACCAAUGGCGAAGGCAGCUCUCUGGCCUGAUACUGACGCUGAGGUGCGAAAGCGUGGGGAGCAAACAGGAUUAGAUACCCCAGUAGUC